GCUUACACCAAGAGAAUACCCGUUAAACUCGGGUUAAAUUGAGCUAAAAUUCUAGCCAAUUAACCCUAAC
rnacentral:tRNA from 1 species